UCUUCAGGCUAAACUGUGUUUUUUUCUUUUAGUUUAAGAGCAACUGAAAGAGAGAAAAAAGAGUUACCAUCGGGAUCGAUUCAUAUUCUUUUAUAUCUGGAAAGAAUUGUAUGUUUCAAGCUAAAUAAUCAAAUCAUCGAUUCAUAUUCAUCCAAAUCUGGAACAUCUUGUUCGAUUUUAGGAAAAAUCAAAUUGACAUCGAUUUUAGGUUUCAAUUUGUAAGCAUUUCUUUUUUGAUUUUUUGUUUUCAUCGUUAAUGAAGCAAUUAGGGUUUACUGCUGGUUAGGGUACAACACUCAUGUUUGUUGGUAGCUGGGUUAAAGAUGAUUCAUUACUAGUCUACGAUGGUUGAUGCUCAAUUCAAUUGUCAAAGGGAAGGUAGACCUAAUUCUGAGUAUCAAAGGUUUCAAUGGAAGCUUAAUGACUGUGAGCUCCCUAGAUUUGAUGGGUGUUUGUUUCUUUACAAGGAUGAGAGGCAAAACACUCAUGUUUGUUGGUGAUUCUCUGGGAUUAUGGAGUGACAUUGUUAUUCUAUAAGGCUCCGUAUGUAGUUGAUAUUGACGCAGGACAAGGGAAGCGGAUACUUUAAUUGGAUGAUAUUUCCAGUAAUGCUGAAGCUUGAAAAGGGACAGAUGUUUUAGUGUUCAAUUCAGGACAUUGGUGGAUUCAUGCCGGAAGACUUCAAGGGUGGGAUUAUAUGGAAUCAGAUGGAUCAUUGCAUAUGCAAUCUUCACCUUGAGCUGUAAAGAUAAAAAAACAAACUUUGCUUAUCUUGUUUAAUUUAAUUAAUGACCACAUAAACUGGAUACUAAUACAGUCAUUUUGAAAAUGAAAAUGAUUAGGGGUUUGAACUGUAUUUGGGGAAGCAUAUUUUUUGUUGGCUAUCAUUUCAUUGUCUCCUGUAACGGUAGAAUUGAUUGACGUUGCCAAAUAGUAGUUUGAGUACUGUCACGUUAUGGCUAAUUAAAGAUAUUAGAGGUUGGAAAAAGAGACGUUC